rnacentral:lncRNA from 1 species
AAUAAAUGCAUCUUCCCCAUUAAUCAAAAUAUAUCCUUAGGGGUAUUACUGCCAUUGAAUUGUCUACUGUAGUCAGAUUCAUAAAGGUGCAAAAGACUUCACACAUAUUUUAUUGUGUAUUUCAAUAGCAUAUAGUAGCGGUGAUUUGCAAGUAAAAGAUUGGAAUCUUUGGCUUGUUCAUUAUAUGAUCCUAAUCAAGGAUAUAUAGAAUUAGUUUGCAAAUUCAAGUCAACACAUCUUCAGAUUCUUCUAGAUUACUCUCUGCUUUAUCUAGUCGCAGUUAUUCACGUUCUAUUUCAAACAUGGACUACACUGUAGGUCCAACUUUGUUUCUCUUCCAUCGCUGCAAAAUAAUUCACCUGGACAGUCGGGGUUGACUUCCCUAUUAGAUUUUGCUCACAGUCUUGAAGUCUUUAUGGUCUUAUUAAAACGAUAUAGCUAAGUUGAUAAUUUGCUUAAACACGUUCAUGCAAGUGGCCUCUUUAAGAGAAUUGAGUUAGUUGUCACGUCUACUCUGCUAAGAUUUAAAAGAGCACAAAUGUUGAGGGAUGGUCUGCUUUGUCAGAUAUUUGGAGGUUCUAGUUUAUCUCAGGUUGAUUUGGGUUUUGAGCUCUCCGGUGUUGAUUCAAUGUUCGGGUUUAUAAGUUUGGUAUUUUAAUCCCAGGAUUGUCGCCUUGUUUAGCCCGAUGGAUUUGCAAUUCAGUUUUGUUCAUCAAUAAAAGGUCCAUUUCUCAGUUUUCAUUCUCAUUUUAUUUUGUUACAAUAGUUUGGUGCGUGUGUUGGUUUAUUUAUUAUCCUACAUGUUUGAGUAGCAUGUCUGAGUUUUUUUCAUUAAAGCUGUUUGAAUUAGUUUUUAUUUCGAUUGUGAUGUAUGUAGUCUUACUCCUGGCACUUCAAUAAAUGCUUUUAAUUGGGUAGUUGGAAAAAUUGGAGUUGUUACUCUCUUGGCAAGGAAUAGAAUGGGCCGUAAGGUGGGUCUUGAAUUAUAAAGAAUCUGGCCAAGUAAUAGACCACGUUAGCUAGCCUAUUUGCUCCCCAAUAAUAUCUUGUUCACAAAUUUGACAUAACAACAAUCUCAAAGAUUAGGAAAUUAAUUAAAUUAGCUAGUUUAUUUAGGUGUGAUUAACAAUAAUCAUCGUGGCUAUACAUACGAAUCUCGUAGUAUGGUCACGAUACAUAAUUUCUAAAUCUGGGAGUACGUGAAUGUGAUCCGACCACAACUUCUAAUAAUAUUAAUAAAUUAAACAUGUUGUAGAUCGUGGGUACGAUUUUCAUGACACGAUUUGUAAUGUUUAUCAAACAAGCAAGUGCAUGACAAUCGUAACUUGUUCAAGAAAUAAUUUCAUAAAUCCUAAAAGAAAUUAAAUUAAUUAAAAGCGGCUUAAAAGGGAUAAAAAUGCACAUAGGUUUAAGAUGUUUUAAAAUCAAAUAAAUAGGCCUAUAAUAAUAGUUGAUCGACCGUGCUAAAACCACGGAAUCUAGGAAUGCCUAACAUCUUUUCCCGGGUUAAUAGAAUUCCUUACGCGGAUUUUUGUAUUUCGCGGACUGUAAAAUAGAAUCAAACUUUCUCGAUUUGGGAUUUUAAAUCGGUGUCUUGGAACACCUAAAUUAUCUAAAGUGCCGACUCUGAACUUAAAUAAAUAAUUUGUUUUGAUUAUAGUCACUUUGAUUGGAAAAAUUUUCCUAUACCCUUUCCGGAUAGAAAAUCUAGGUGCGAUAGUAGUGUGGCAACACAUGUAGUCUAAUGAAUUAUACCUUCGGACUGAAAAAAUGAUGUGGCAAGAUUACCUGAACCCAACUCAAAGGCAUUAUUAGAACUAAUCACUUUAACUUUGGUAGAAAAUUAUCUUUCAACCAGCAAUAGAAAAGAUUUCAAAAUUGUAAAGGCAAUGGACUUGAUAAAUAGAAGAAAUAUCCAAGUACUUCUUGAAAAAUCAUCAACUAUUGUUAAGAAGUAUCUUUCCCCAUUAUAGGUAGAAGACUUAUAAGGUCCCCAAGUAUCAAUGUGGAGUAAGUGAAAACUGUGCUUAGCAGUGAUUGAACUAAUAGGAAAAUGUGGCUUGGUUUGCCUUGUCAUAGGGUAGACAGUACAAGAAAAAUGUAUUUUAUUCUUUAAAGUUGUUGAAAAACUGAUAAUAUUCUUCAUAGCAUGGAAAGGUAAAUGACUCAUGUUAUUGUGCUAUAUGAGAGCAGAAUCAAAAACUGUAAAAGCUGAACCAAUUUCAUUGAUAAUUUCACUAAAUAACUUAGUACAUUUAUGACUUAAAGGAUUGGAGAAUAUACCCUUGGACCAUUUGACUCUGGCAAACAAGGAAAAGAUUUAGACAAACUAGACUGAGACUCAUGACUGGAAUUAAAAGAAACAGGAACAAAAGACUGAGAAGUAAUAAGCUUCAUCUCUGGUGUGCUAUCCUUCAUCACAUAAAACCCAGCUGCUAAAUUACCGAGAACAUGGUCCCUCUUCGAAAAAGGAGAAUGUAUGGAACACACAUGUUUAGAAAAAAAAUUAAAUUCCAAUCAAAUUGUGUGCAAAAAUGGAAAACUGAUAAAUGAUUAUGUUUGAAUACAGGUACAUAAAGCACGUUAUAAAGCUCCAAAUCUGGAGUCAAGUGUAGGCUUCCUACAUAAGUAACCUGCAC